GAGGCAUACAUGGACGUUGUCAGGGUGGAACUGCGACUCCUCAAAAUGCUCUUUCCAGGCCUCGGGGCCUGUCAAUGGCACAUGGGCCCCAGUGCACUUACUUUUGCCGGGACCCUGGGCGGGCUGUCUAUGGGACUGGGUUAUCGGCCGGCAGGUAUGGGAAGUCAAGCCACCCCACGAACCUAGCCGUUUUAUCACCACUCCCCAUGAUUUCGCUGCUCAACAUGACUGGGUGGGAAUCGGAACCUUGUGGUCCUUAUGGCCCUUGGAACCCCCACAGUUGUUUUGUCUCCGCAAGUUACACCCUGGGGAAUUACUGAACAUCUUUGAUACAGUUUGUUGGGAGGGAGAAGCAGUAGGUAAGGCCCCAGGAGGAGAACUCCUAUUUAGCAAAAAGGAUGGUUGCGCCCUGCCAUCGAAUCGCCACACCCCUCUUCCCUUUCAUCUUAACUUAACCACUACCCAGGGUAGCCGCUUUAUCACAUGGCCUGCCAAUCCCCAAAUCUACGUAACCCUCCACCCAGCCGUCCCUCUUACUUUCGAUUGGACUUCCCUCAUCCCAAACCGCUUUUUAAAUUUGACCUUUCUGAUUUCCAUCCUCUCCAGCAUAUCUUACCUCCAAAACCAAAUACAUUUAAUAGAGGUUGAAUACAACGGGGAGGCCAAAGCAUUUCAAACUGCCUACCGGGUGGGUACCCUAUGCUCUUCCCAUAACAUGUUGUGUUUUGCCUCUAAAGAAAUCACCCAAGCCACGCCCAGCCUCUUCACUUCUUCAGUCUUAAAAAUACUAGCUGGUAUAAUGAUCGCAAUCGCUGGCUGUUUAUUAAUUAUCUCCCUUUGUUGCACGUGCAGGGUGUGUCAUUUACCCCAGCUACAGGUUCAGUCACCACCCCAAACUCUUCUUUUUCCCAUUGAUACCCCCAACACAACACUAUACUUUCCUACAGACCCAGAAAUUAGUCACCUUAGUGUCCACCCCUCCGGUACUGCCAGUCUCGUGUCCACUGAUCUCCUUUUACAAGAAACUAUGCCUAAAUACUGCACUAUGGCCUCUUUAGCAAAUUAGAAUAAUGAUGCCUAUAUGGCAUCAGAGGAGGGAAAUUGUGGGGAAAAAGAAAAGACGGUUACUCACCUUUGUAACUGUUGUUCUUCGAGAUGUGUUG
rnacentral:lncRNA from 1 species